UAUUAGUGAUAUUAUAAGUGUUUGCUAUUACAAAUUAAUUGUUCUUUAAUAAUAUAUAAAAAUUGUAAUAUCUUUGUUUCUUCAAGUUGUUA
rnacentral:misc_RNA from 1 species